rnacentral:misc_RNA from 1 species
AUUGAAGCAUAUAUUUUCAACAUUUUUAUGCAAAUUUAGGAAGCCCAUUUGUAAAGUUUACACUUACGACUUUCAUCUAAAUGCCUAAAUCUUGUGAAAAGUCUUAAAUACCAUUUAUGAUCAUUAUAACAACAUUCUUCAAGACACACGUUGAGCUUGAGAUGCGUCUACAAUCUUCUUAUUUAUAGAGAAUCAUUGUAUCCUUAUGUCCGGCUGCAGGCUGGAAUCAUAUUGGUAUUUUUCAUCAUAGCUAAGUAAUCUAAUUUUCAUUCCUCCAUAUCACUUUCUCAAAGAGUUGCUCAUUUUUCAAAGAGUGCUGUGCUUUCAUUUUUUUUUUCGCCAAGUUUAAUAUGUAUGAAUUUGCUUAUUCUUUGAUUUUGAACUGCAUGCUGUGACUAUUUCUCUACUGAUCUAUGGUGUCUUUUCAACCUCAAUUUCAGUUAUGGGGUUCUUUUCUUGUCUCA